rnacentral:lncRNA from 13 species
GGGAACCGUGGCCCACAUGCGCCUGCCCACUCCGGUGGUUCUGUUUGAGUUCCUUCAGGGUGGCUGGUGUCCAGGUGAAAACACAGUGAGAAGGUGCCUUCGAUGAGCCAGGAAGCGGGUCGUCACCUGACAUGAAAUCUGCCACGCCUUGACCCUGGACUUCCGGCCUGCAGAACUGGGAGACAUACAUUUCUGCCAUUUAUAAUCUACCUUGUGAAUGGCAUUUUGUAUAGCUGUCAGGAUGGACUAAAACAAUCUUUGACCU